AGCUGAAUAUAUGGAAUUAAGUGAUUCGUCAUACACAGACAGAGACAAAUCGGCAGAAGUCGCCAGUGGAUUGUACUCAAAUACAAAAUAGCAUGGGGAUAUCCACCGGUAAGGGAAUGCCAAACAAAUUCAGUGUUGAUGGUGCUGUCGGUUACCCUGCACAUUUAUACAUCCCUUUAUUUGUUGGUCAUUGAAUAUUUUCCAGAUCAUGGAAAGAGCUAUAAUUGUAUCUCUUUUGAUAUCUUUGAGAUAUGACAAUAAAAAUAAUUUAUUUCAACUG